UCUUACAGAUGAGAAAAAAAGUGAUUUAUUGAGAUGGGAACCUACUCCUGGUAAAGAUGCUGUGAA
rnacentral:pre_miRNA from 1 species